rnacentral:lncRNA from 12 species
GUUUAAAAGAAAGAUAAACAAAGUGUCAGGGACACUUACCAAAGAACACUAAUGUGGAGAGGCAAGGGGAGGUGGGGAACAGAGUGAAAGCAUCGAGUCACAAGGAUGGUGGCCACUGCUAGAGUGGCCAACGCCAAGAUGUGACUUUUCUCCUUUGGGAUGAUGGACACUGUGCUCAUUCCAAGUAGCCCUGACAAAGCAGAAGUGCAGAGGAAGCUGUCGUCCUUUUCUUCUCUGCCCCGUGGGCCAUGUCCUCGGAUCUGUCAGAUGGGAAUGAUAAAGCUUUCUCAUUGAUGCCAUUGAGGGUUGUAUGAGGAAUUUUACUUGAAUGUUAAACAAAGGUUGUGUUGCAAGUUAUGUGAAGUUAUGUGA